GGCUCCGCCGUCCUAAAUUUAAUCCUAUGUACGUGAAUCUACCUCAUAGUUCCCAGUGAUAUCACUUCCCUGCAGCACUCCAUGUAAUUUGCAAGAUGUUUGGGAAAUUCUCUCAGCAUGCUCUGGAGGAAAUAGUGGGUAGAAUUUUAGACUGUGGUCAAGGCUUAUAGUGGAGGAGAGAUGAAACAAUUCCUGGACUCUGGCACAAUCUCGGAAUGCAGCUGCACCCUUUCUGUUCUGAAGUGUUGGGACAUGCCAGUGUCAGCUGUGUCCAAACACAUUCUUUAUUUAGCACGUGUGUUUUCCUACAAUAACCAGACAAGCCGUUCCCCCUUCUUCAUAUGUGGAUAUGAAUACUUGACAGACAAGCAACCACUUCAAGUGCUUGAAGCGGCAUUAUGAAAGGUCAUUGUGGAGAGCCCAGCCCACCCACUCUCUGCAAUACCAUGGGGUCAUUGUACGAUGGAGGCACACAAGAAAAAACAAAACUCAAUCAUUUGAGUCUGAUGAAAUGACCGUUUUGGUAAUAUUGGUAGUUUUCAGGCCCUGAAUCCUCCUGUGACCAAUCGCAGCAUGAUGCACGCUUCUUUACAGAGAUGCUGGCCAGAUAUGUGGAGUGCCGCCACCUGUUGGUUUAAUGACUUUUGAGACGUCAGCCCAUAUAUACACUGCAUUUACAUCUACUCCUGAAGAAGCAAACAGUGACUUGCGAAACGCAUUGAGUUAUACAAUGCCUGUGUAUUACUGUACAUUAACAAUUCUAAAUAUAUAUGUAUGUGGCCGCUUGGUAAUGUUGUGUUUUAUCACUGCCAAGUGGUUUGGCACCUCUGUUCAUGCAUUUCAUAUACGAUGAAUAGUAUACAAUUUUAAUAAAUUUAUAAAC